GUCAACGGCCAUACCACGUUGAACACACCGGUUCUCGUCCGAUCACCGAAGUUAAGCAACAUCGGGCGUGGUAAGUACCUGGAUGGGUGACCGCCUGGGAACACCGCGUGCUGUUGGCA
rnacentral:rRNA from 1 species